rnacentral:rRNA from 1 species
CGGCGCACGGGUGAGUAACGCGUGGAUAAUCUGCCCUGAAGAUCGGGAUAACAGCUGGAAACGACUGCUAAUACCGUAUAAUCUGCAUAUUUAACUUUAUGUGGGAAAGGUGGCCUCUAUUUAUAAGCUACCGCUUUUGGAUGAGUCCGCGUCUCAUUAGCUUGUUGGUAGGGUAAUGGCCUACCAAGGCAACGAUGAGUAGCUGGUCUGAGAGGAUGAUCAGCCACACUGGGACUGAAACACGGCCCAGACUCCUACGGGAGGCAGCAGUGGGGAAUAUUGCGCAAUGGGGGAAACCCUGACGCAGCGACGCCGCGUGUAGGAAGAAGGCCUUCGGGUCGUAAACUACUGUCAAGAGGGAAGAAACUGUUAGGCAUUAAUACGGCCUUUCACUGACGGUACCUCUAGAGGAAGCACCGGCUAACUCCGUGCCAGCAGCCGCGGUAAUACGGAGGGUGCAAGCGUUAAUCGGAAUCACUGGGCGUAAAGCGUGCGUAGGCGGCGCAACAAGUCAGGCGUGAAAGCCCUCGGCUCAACCGAGGAAUUGCGUUUGAAACUGUUGUGCUAGAGUCUUGGAGAGGUUGGCGGAAUUCCAGGUGUAGGAGUGAAAUCCGUAGAUAUCUGGAGGAACA